AUUGAACGCUGGCGGCAGGCCUAACACAUGCAAGUCGAACGGUAACAGGAAGCAGCUUGCUGCUUCGCUGACGAGUGGCGGACGGGUGAGAAAUGUCUGGGAAGCUGCCUGAUGGAGGGGGAUAACUACUGGAAACGGUAGCUAAUACCGCAUAAUGUCGCAAGACCAAAGAGGGGGACCUUCGGGCCGCUUGCCAUCGGAUGUGCCCAGAUGGGAUUAGCUUGUUGGUGGGGUAACGGCUCACCAAGGCGACGAUCCCUAGCUGGUCUGAGAGGAUGACCAGCCACACUGGAACUGAGACACGGUCCAGACUCCUACGGGAGGCAGCAGUGGGGAAUAUUGCACAAUGGGCGCAAGCCUGAUGCAGCCAUGCCGCGUGUAUGAAGAAGGCCUUCGGGUUGUAAAGUUCUUUCAGCGGGGAGGAAGGGAGUAAAGUUAAUACCUUUGCUCAUUGACGUUACCCGCAGAAGAAGCACCGGCUAACUCCGUG
rnacentral:rRNA from 1 species